rnacentral:lncRNA from 1 species
AAAUUUAAACCUGAUGCUUUUUGUUAUUCAUUAAUCAUGUGUUUCUUUGUCUAAUACGUUUUCCUAUUUAUUUGUAUUGUAGUUGUAAAUAGUAGUUUGUAAUAUUAUGUUGUCAUUUCUAUUUUAUAUUUAACAUUGCCAUUAAAGUGCGAGGUUUGGCAUGCCACAAAACCAGGUUCAACCCACCAUUUUUUCCUUUAAAAAUGUCUGUACCAAGUCAGGAAUAUGGCCAUUGUUAUAUUAUAGUUCGUUUCUGUGUGUGUUACAAUUUAACGUUGCGUCGUUUGUUUAUCUUAUUUUUGAGUGUAAAUUGACAUUGCGAUAAGACGUGUCACGGUACUUGUCUAUCCCAAAUUCAUGUAUUUGGUUUUGAUGUUAUAUUUUGUUAUUCUCGUGGGAUUUUGUCUGAUGCUUGGUCCGUUUCUGUGUGUGUUAGUUACAUUGUAGUGUUGUGUCGUUGUUCUCUUAUAUUUAUGCGUUUCCCUCAGUUUUAGUUUGUUACCCCGAUUUUGUUUUUUGUCCAUGGAUUUAUGAGUUUGAACAGCGGUAUACUACUGUUGCCUUUAUUUAA